GACGAACGCUGGCGGCGUGCCUAAUACAUGCCAGUUGAGCGCUGAAGGUUGGUACUUGUACCGACUGGAUGAGCAGCGAACGGGUGAGUAACGCGUGGGGAAUCUGCCUUUGAGCGGGGGACAACAUUUGGAAACGAAUGCUAAUACCGCAUAAAAACUUUAAACACAAGUUUUAAGUUUGAAAGAUGCAAUUGCAUCACUCAAAGAUGAUCCCGCGUUGUAUUAGCUAGUUGGUGAGGUAAAGGCUCACCAAGGCGAUGAUACAUAGCCGACCUGAGAGGGUGGUCGGCCACAUUGGGACUGAGACACGGCCCAAACUCCUACGGGAGGCAGCAGUAGGGAAUCUUCGGCAAUGGACGAAAGUCUGACCGAGCAACGCCGCGUGAGUGAAGAAGGUUUUCGGAUCGUAAAACUCUGUUGGUAGAGAAGAACGUUGGUGAGAGUGGAAAGCUCAUCAAGUGACGGUAACUACCCAGAAAGGGACGGCUAACUACGUG
rnacentral:rRNA from 1 species